UGAUGAUGAUGAAGAAGUAGGUGGAAGAGAAAGAGAAGGAGGAGGUGAAGUAGGAGGAGAAGGCAAAGAAGAAGAAGAAGAAGAAGAAGAAGAAGAAGAAGAAGAAGAAGAAAGAAGAAGGAGAAGAAGGAGGAGAAGGAGGAGAAGGUGAAGAAGAGGAAGAAGAAGAAGAAGAAGAAGAAGAAGAAGAAGAAGAAGAAGAAGAAAGAAGAAGAAGAAAGAAGAAGAAGAAGAAGAAGAAGGAAGAAGGAGAAGAAGAACAAGAAGAAGAAGAAGAAAGAAGAAGAAGAAGAAGAAAGAAGAAGAAGAAGCAGAAAGAAGAAGGAGAAGAAGAACAAGAACAAGAAAGAAGAAGGAGAAGAAGAAGAAGAAGAAGAAGAAGAAGAAGAAGAAGAAGAAGAAGAAGAAAG
rnacentral:lncRNA from 1 species